CUACGGGUUGCUCCAGUGGGGAAUAUUGCACAAUGGAGGAAACUCUGAUGCAGCAACGCCGCGUGGAGGAUGACACUUUUCGGAGCGUAAACUCCUUUUAUAUAGGAAGAAGAUGACGGUACUAUAUGAAUAAGCGCCGGCUAACUCCGUGCCAGCAGCCGCGGUAAUACGGAGGGCGCAAGCGUUACUCGGAAUCACAUGGGCGUAAAGAGCGUGUAGGCGGAUUAAAAAGUCAGAAGUGAAAUCCUAUAGCUUAACUAUAGAACUACUUCUGAAACUCUUAAUCUAGAAUAUGGGAGAGGUAGAUGGAAUUUCUGGUGUAGGGGUAAAAUCCGUAGAGAUCAGAAGGAAUACCGAUUGCGAAGGCGAUCUACUAGAACAUUAUUGACGCUGAGACGCGAAAGCGUGGGGAGCAAACAGGAUUAGAUACCCGGGUAGUC
rnacentral:rRNA from 1 species